AGCGAACGCUGGCGGCAGGCCUAACACAUGCAAGUCGAACGAAGUCUUCGGACUUAGUGGCGGACGGGUGAGUAACACGUGGGAACGUGCCUUUAGGUUCGGAAUAACUCAGGGAAACUUGUGCUAAUGCCGAAUGUGCCCUUCGGGGGAAAGAUUUAUCGCCUUUAGAGCGGCCCGCGUCUGAUUAGCUAGUUGGUGAGGUAAAGGCUCACCAAGGCGACGAUCAGUAGCUGGUCUGAGAGGAUGAUCAGCCACAUUGGGACUGAGACACGGCCCAAACUCCUACGGGAGGCAGCAGUGGGGAAUCUUGCGCAAUGGGCGAAAGCCUGACGCAGCCAUGCCGCGUGAAUGAUGAAGGUCUUAGGAUUGUAAAAUUCUUUCACCGGGGACGAUAAUGACGGUACCCGGAGAAGAAGCACCGGCUAACUUCGUGCCAGCCGCCGCAGUAA
rnacentral:rRNA from 1 species